rnacentral:tRNA from 5 species
UGGGAUGUAGCCAAGUGGUAAGGCAGCGGAUUUUGAUUCCGCCAUUCCCAGGUUCGAAUCCUGGCAUCCCAGCCA